rnacentral:rRNA from 1 species
UACGAAGGGGGCUAGCGUUGUUCGGAAUCACUGGGCGUAAAGCGCACGCAGGCGGAUUGAUAAGUCAGGGGUGAAAUCCCGGAGCUCAACUUCGGAAUUGCCUUUGAUACUGUCUAUCUUCGAGUUCGGGAGAGGUUGGCGGAAUUCCUAGUGUAGAGGUGAAAUUCGUAGAUAUUAGGAAGAACACCAGUGGCGAAGGCGGCUCUCUGGGACGGUACUGACGCUGAGACGCGAAAGCGUGGGGAGCGAACAGG